rnacentral:rRNA from 1 species
CCUACGGGAGGCAGCAGUGAGGAAUAUUGCACAAUGGGCGCAAGCCUGAUGCAGCGACGCCGCGUGGGUGAAGAAGGUUUUCGGAUCGUAAAACCCUUUUCUGUGUGACGAGCAAGGACGGUAGCACAGGAAUAAGUCUCGGCUAACUACGUGCCAGCAGCCGCGGUAAAACGUAGGAGACAAACGUUAUCCGGAGUUACUGGGCGUAAAGGGCGUGUAGGUGGUAGUGUAAGUCUGGCGUGAAAUUUUUCGGCUUAACCGGGAAAGGUCGUCGGAUACUGCACAACUAGAGGACGGUAGAGGCGUGUGGAAUUCCGGGUGUAGUGGUGAAAUGCGUAGAGAUCCGGAGGAACACCAGUGGCGAAGGCGACACGCUGGGCCGUACCUGACACUGAUGCGCGACAGCAUGGGGAGCAAACAGGAUUAGAAACCCUGGUAGUCCAUGCCGUAAACGAUGCUAGCUGGGUGUUCAGGGGGGAAACCCCUCGGGGUACCGAAGUCAACACGGUAAGCAGCGCGUGGAGGUACGGUCGCAGAUAAACUACAAGAAGUAGACGCGNGAGACGUGCCGACGGACGACGACGAGGGAGGUUAGG